ensembl:lncRNA
AUGGACCCACCCUGUAAAUUAUUCAAGCACAAUGAUGGUACCUCCACUCGAGCUAAAUGGUUCGACUUUGAGGCUUUUAACCAGGCAGCUGCGCAAUUAGUAAGCAAUUGUCAAGUUUUGCAUGCAACACUUAGUAGUCUCGCUGCAGCACGCAGUGGUGUGUCUAAUGAGCGUCCUUGUCCAACUCAUUCUGAACCUAUUGCUGAUGAUGCAUCCGAAACACAGCCGGAUUUUCCUGUAGCCACGAAUGUUACUGUUGCAGGGACUGUUGUUACUCAGGAUACCGAUGAAUGUCUUAUUACUGAGCCUUCUUUCACCCCUGAACGGGUGGGUGCACCCAGAGCACAUGCUUAUCAGGGGGCUGAUGCUACUGUAUCUGUUGCUGUUGCUGUUGCUGACGCAUCACCACACAGCCCCUCAAGUGUUAACCAUACACAAACACAUGCUGCAGUAGUUGAGCCCAUUGUUCAGUCAGGGUCUGGCAGUCACAGUCAGCUUAGCAUCAGAGAGAUACCUAAUUUCAACGCCCGAGAAUUGCGCGAGCGCCUUGAUUUUAGGGACAUAAGUCUUGAUGAUCCAGAACAAGUGCCAGAAAGAGUUAGAAGCUGCCUAGCUAAUGUGAUAGAUAGAGCAGUGGCUGGAUCUCAGCAGGGUUGUGUUCUAAAUGUGGUCCUCCGUGGGCCCUCGUUGGCUUCUGAUGUUCAAGCUGUUUUAAAUCCUGAUGAUCAGUAUGACCCUGACCUGUUUCUCGACCAAAUAGCACAAGUUAUGCAAAGUAACGACAAAUCUAUCGGUGAUGAUGAAUUAGAGUUUAUUGUCACGGUUGCACAAAAUAGUAGCGGUGGGGCUCGCUUAAAACUGGCAAACAUCCCUUAUGAUGACAUUCUCUCAAAGAAGGGUAAACAUUUGUAUACACCAAACAAUACGCACAACAGUUUGUGCUUCUCCCUUUGCAUAGCACAUUCAUUAAACCCAACAGCCCCCGAGCAUGAAAAAUAUGCUACUGCUAAACAGUUACAUGUUCAAGUAGGUCUAUGCGACACACAGACAGUAUCAUUCUCAGAUGUCUGCAAAUUUGAGAAACACCUAAACAUUAAGAUAGUAAUCUAUUAUCACGCAGCAGGGCGUAAACGUCUGCAUACUUUUUUCACACAUGAUGAGCCAAAUCCAAACACUGUAAUGUUGUACUUACACAAUGAACACUAUCACCUGAUUGAAAAGCCCACAGCUUUUCUAGGGGCAGGCUAUGUGUGUAAUUUUUGUUACAAUACAUAUGAAUCACCGCUCUAUCACAGCUGUAAACAUAGAUGCAACGUAUGUUUCACACUCUGUCACCACCACAGAGGUCCAGCCGUGAAAUGCAGUGACUGUAACCGCAUCUGCAAAUCACAACACUGUUACCAACAACACAAAUUACCAGAAAUAAAACACAACAUGGUCCCGUGUGACAAUAUGAAGCACUGCAUGAGUUGUGGUGUCACAUAUAAAGAAUCAAAGAAAUCACCACACAGAUGUGUCCAGCCUAAAUGCGAGCACUGCCGUGAGCCUAAAUUAGCCGGGGACUCUGAGCAUCAGUGUUUCAUACAGCCUGUUGAACAACAGAAGCCUUGUGAGAAAUAUAUUUUAUAUGAUUUUGAGACACGGUAUCACAACGGCAAACAUGAGGCCAACUUUGUGUGUGCGUCUGAUCUGAAGGGCAACAAGUUCUCAUUUAAUACGUUAAAAUGUGUGGCGGCGUUUGUGCAGCAUUACAGACGCCCGAGGUUUCGUGGGUACACGUUCAUAGCACAUAACGCAUCCGGAUUCGAUAAUUACAUACUUUUGGAGUACUUCGUCAAGCAAUGUAUAACACCUACCGUCACAAUGAGAGGGAGCCGUGUGAUUUUGAUGCAUGACAAGGAGUAUGACCAGCGGUGGAUUGAUUCGUUCAGCUUUUUGCCCAUGGGUCUUGCCAAAAUACCCUCUGCUUUAGGUUUUCAAGACCUGCAGAAGGGCCAUUUCCCACACAGAUUCAACACUAGGGAUAAUGAGUAUUAUGUCGGUCCAUACCCGGAUCCCUCCUUCUAUGGCUAUGAGCGCAUGUCUGAAAGUGGUAAGGCGAGCUUCAUGGAAUGGUACCAGACUGCCUCACAGAACACCUUUGAUUUUCAGGCUGAACUCAGGCGCUACUGUGUUAACGAUGUUGAUGUCCUGCGUAAAGCAUGUACCAUAUAUCGUGACACUCUGUUGGGUUGUACACAAGUUGAUCCAUUCAUGCACACCACCCUGGCUGCAUUCAGUAUGGGUGUGUAUAAAACACUGUUUCUGCCUAGAGACACGCUCGCUCUCACGUAUGAUGGUGCAUACGUUGAGCAGAAUAAGACAUUUUCAAACGUCUCUAUUGAAUGGCUUCAAUCUGUGUCCCACACCACCAGCACAGUGAUAAAACACGCUCUCAGAGGAGGUGAACAGAGGGUUGGGCCAUAUUUUGUGGACGGCUUUGACCCCACAACUAAUACGGCUUACGAAUUUGCAGGAUGUUUUCACCACGGAUGUGUUAAAUGCUACCCCGAGAGUGAAGUAAAUCCUGUCAGCAAAGCGUCCUACGGACUGCUGCAUCGUAUGUUUUGUGACAAAGUGGAUGCACUGAAAUCACAAUACAGUUUGAGCGUUGUUGUGAUGUGGGAGUGCGAAUGGGCUGCCUUGAAGCAGACAGACCCUGCAGUUGUGGCUUUCAUGCAUACAUACAGAAAGCCAGAACGCCUGAACCCCCGAGACGCCCUUUUUGGCGGUCGCACAAAUGCUAUAAAACUGUACCACAAGGUUGCGUGUGAUGAAAAAAUAUUUUACUACGAUUUCACCAGUCUCUAUCCCACGGUGCAAUCUAAAAAAGAUUAUCCUGUAGGACAUCCUCAAAUCAUUUACAGCAACUUUGACAAGCUAGAAAAUUAUUUCGGCUUUGUUAAAUGCACAGUACUGCCACCAAGAGGGCUUUUUCACCCCGUCCUUCCCUACAGGUGCCACGGCAAACUGAUGUUUCCACUCUGCAGCAUGUGCGCUGAAGACCAGAACCAGCACACUGCAUGCGGGCACAGUGACAGUGAACGGGUGUUGAAAGGUACAUGGGUCUCAUUUGAGCUUGAAAAAGCUGUUGAGAAAGGAUACAAGCUUGUUUCUAUUGAUGAGGUGUGGCAUUUCCCCAACAAGACCGACACAUUGUUUAAAGACUAUGUGAAAGCCUUUCUAAAACUUAAACAGGAGGCCUCGGGGUAUCCAGAACAUGUGAAAACCCCUGACGAACAGCAAAAGUACAUAGCCGAGUAUUAUGAAAAGGAGGGAAUAAUAUGUGUAAAUAAAGCCGUUCGAAACUGCAACAAGCUGCUGCUAAACUCUUUAUGGGGUCGUUUCAGUAUGAGGUCAAACAUGGCGUCAUCUGAGCUCAUCACAGACCCGUCCAGGUUUAGUCAGCUAAUGUUCAGCGACCAGUACGACGUGCGGCAGUUUUGUUUCAUCUCUGACGACGUCGCCAUGGUGCAGUGGCGCCACGCCGAUGGUAGAGCAUCCCGCGUCAAGGACGUUAAUGUCUUUGUGGGUGCCAUGACCACUGCACACGCCAGACUCAUGUUGUAUGAUUUGUUAGACAACUUGCAACAGCGCAUGCUGUAUUGUGAUACAGACAGUGUCAUUUUCACAGCACGCCCUGGCGACUGGAUGCCUCCUCUUGGCCCUUUUCUGGGUGAUCUCACCAGUGAAUUAGCUUCUGGACAGGGAGGUGUGGAGGAUCACAUAGUAGAAUUUGUUUCCGGUGGGCCAAUAUGCUACGCGUAUCACACAUCGCUGGGCAAAACCCAGGUCAAAUGUAAAGUUGUAACACUGAACACACAAAACUCCAAAGUUGUCACCCACAAAUCCUUGAAAGGUUUAGUCCACAAGUUUGUAGCCAAUCAGGCAUCAGACGCACACCUAGUGGCUGUGUCUGAUAAUAUCAAACGAGAUAAAAAGAAGCUUCAUUUGAAGAAUGUAUCCGUUGUGAAGAAGCUUAAAGUUGUCUACAACAAGCGCCGUGUGCUCCCAGACUACACAACCCUGCCUUAUGGAUUUUAA